UCAAUUUGAAACAAAAGAGCCAUAUCCAUAUUGAUGAAAUCUAGCAAUGCACACACGAUAAUUUCUGGUUUAAAUAUAAAUGUAAAAGAGAAGGAAAAAGGUACAUGUUGGCAAUUCUUAAUAGACUAUCAGAAUACUUUAACAUGUUGAAGAAAGGCACACCCAAAGCUGCGAAAGGGAAGGUGUAAAAAGAAAAGACACUAUAUAUAAUAUUUGAUUGGAACAAACGAGAAAUAUACAUGAGUAUUGAAGAUGUUCUAAAAGAAAAUUUUGAUGCAAGACAAAACAAUGAACAUUUGUCAUGGAAAAGAUAUGACGAAAUCAAUGAAGCUUAAAAAUGCGCAAGAAGCUUAAUAGGGGAAAAUUAUUACAUCAUAGAUAUCCGACAUCCAAAGAAUGCCUUCUCAAAGUAACCGAUCUCUUGGAUAGUGAAUACAUACACUUGAACAUAAAUGAAAAAUAUAAAGAGAUCACAAAAUCAGUGAAGGCAAAACUAGAAGAAGAAAUUUUAAAAGAAUUAUGAUUGGAAAUGAUGGAAAUUUUGAAAUCUAAAGAAAGAAUAUGAUAAAAAAUAUUACCCCAAUCUUUCCGAUGAAGAUCAUAUGGAUAUUGCCGAACACGGGAACCAAUCAAUUAGAAGAUCAUAAGCAUAAUCCUCAAAUAUAUCUGAACAUGAAUUGAUAUGACUAUCAAUUAUUCGGGUGCAGAGGAUCUAUACCCGAAUAUUGAUAUAAUCUGAAUAUUGAUAAAGUAUUAUCAAUAAUAUGGGCGGGGAAGACUCCUACCUAAAAUAUCUGUAGGAUGAAUAUUUGUGCAAGUAGAGACCAACAAGGAGCAUCACCCGUAUCAGGAAAGGCAAAUGAGAGGAGUUAAGCUAAACUCCUCAAUCAAGAUAAAGUCCUUCAUUCAAGCUAGAAUACUAAGCCACGCAUGGAUGGCUUACAUAAUACUUCAUGGCAUGCAACGACACAUGGAUGUCUUGAAAUAAAAUCAUGGCACAAGAGGCCAAGAAUAUAAAAAUAUGAUGGGGACAAUGUCUUCAGUUUGGACAAAAUCCUCUGUCAAGACAAGGUCUUCACUUUGGAAAAAAGAUCCUCUGUUAGGACAAGGUCUUCAGUCUAGAAAAAAUCCUCGAUCUGGACAAAACUCCUAACCAAAACAAAAACACAGUCACACAUCGGAAUCAUGCAUGGCCAGACUAUGCAAACAUCGAUGCUUUAUUAUGCAGACUACAUGGAAUACAAGGUAUAUAAAAUAUUGGGCUGGUUCAUCAGCUCACACGAAGGAACAUGCAUGAUUCGUCAACUAAUGAAACUAUGUCAAGGCAUGUAGCAGUACACUAGCAAUAGAAGAAGGGACCACACGGUGUCCCUCAUGCACUGUAAAAAGAGGGGGACUGAGAGCUGCAAAAGACACAGAACACCAGAUUCCAGAGAAUCACAACAUUCGUAGAGCAAGAGCACUACAACCGCCCACUCAUUAGUAGUAGUAGUUUUUGUGCCAUCUCCACUUGUAAUAAAGCUUUAUACUAACUGCAUUGUAUCAUCAGGUGAUGAAGGUAGGAACAAGGUGAUACGUCUCCAACGUAUCUAUAAUUUUUGAUUGUUCCAUGCUAUAUUAUAUUCUGUUUUGGAUGUUUAUUGGGUUUUAUUAUACACAUUUAUAUUAUUUUUGGGACUAACCUAUUAACCGGAGGCCCAGCACAAAUUGCUGUUUUUUUGCCUAUUUCAGUGUUUCGAAGGAAAAGGAUAUCAAACGGAGUCCAAACGGAAUGAAACCUUCGGGAACGUGAUUUUCGGAACGAACGUGAUCCAGAGGACCUGGAGUCUAUGUAAAGCAAUCGACGAGGAGGGCACAAGGUAGGGGGGCGCGCCCACCUCCCCCAGGCGCGCCCUCCACUCUCGUGGGCCCCUCGUUGCUCCACUGACGUACUUCUUCCUCCUAUAUAUAUACCCAUGUACCCUGGAAACAUCAUAUACAGAGCCAAAACCCUAUUUCCACUGCCGCAACCUUCUGGACCCGUGAGAUCCCAUCUUGGGGCCUUUUCCGGCGCUCCGCUGGAGGGGGCAUUGAUCAUGGAGGGCUUCUACAUCAACACCAUAGCCUCUCCGAUGAUGUGUGAGUAGUUUACCUCAGACCUUCGGGUCCAUAGUUAUUAGCUAGAUGGCUUCUUCUCUCUCUUUGGAUCUCAAGACAAAGUUCUCCUCGAUCUUCUUGGAGAUCUAUUUGAUGUAACUCUUCUUUUGCGGUGUGUUUGUCGAGAUCCGAUGAAUUGUGGUUUUAUGAUCAAGUUUAUCUAUGAACAAUAUUUGAAUCUCCUCUGAAUUCUUUUAUGUAUGAUUGGUUAUUUUUGCAAGUCUCUUCGAAUUAUCAGUUUGGUUUGGCCUACUAGAUUGAUCUUUCUUGCAAUGGGAGAAGUGCUUAGCUUUGGGUUCAAUCUUGCGGUGUCCUUUCCCAGUGACAGCAGGGGCAGCAAGGCACGUAUUGUAUUGUUUCCAUCGAGGAUAAAAAGAUGGGGUUUAUAUCAUAUUGCAUGAGUUUAUCCCUCUACAUCAUGUCAUCUUGCUUAAAGCAUUACUCUGUUCUUAUGAACUUAAUACUCUAGAUGCAUGUUGGAUAGCGGUCGAUGUGUGGAGUAAUAGUAGUAGAUGCAGAAUCGUUUCGGUCUACUUGUCGCGGACGUGAUGCCUAUAUACAUGAUCAUACCUAGAUAUUCUCAUAACUAUGCUCAAUUCUAUCAAUUGCUCGACAGUAAUUCGUUUACCCACCGUAAUACUUAUGCUAUCUUGAGAGAAGCCACUAGUGAAACCUAUGGCCCCCGGGUCUAUUUUCCAUCAUAUUAAUCUCCCAACAACAAGCUAUUUCCAUUGUCGUUUAUUUUACUUUGCAUCUUUAUUUCUCUUUAUCAUAAACAUACCAAAAAUAUUAUCUUAUCAUAUCUAUUAGAUCUCACUCUCGUAAGUGACCAUGAAGGGAUUGACAACCCCUUUAUCGCGUUGGUUGCGAGGUUCUUAUUUGUUUGUGUAGGUGCGUGGGACUCGAGCGUGGUCUCCUACUCGAUUGAUACCUUGGUUCUCAAAAACCGAGGGAAAUACUUACGCUACUUUACUGCAUCACCCUUUCCUCUUCAAGGGAAAACCAACGCAGUGCUCAAGAGGUAGCAAGAAGGAUUUCUGGCGCCGUUGCCGGGGAGAUCUACGCACAAGUCAAGACAUACCAAGUACCCAUCACAAACUCUUAUCCCUCGCAUUAUAUUAUUUGCCAUUUGCCUCUCGUUUUCCUCUCCCCCACUUCACCCUUGCCAUUUUAUUCACCCUCUCUUUUCCCUUCGUCGCUUUCUUGCUUGCCUUGUCGUUAUGGCUAGUCCAUUAUCUUCUUCGUUGUCUCCCGAGAAUGAAGUUCUUAAUUUUAAGCAAAGGGAGGGAGAAAAUCUAAAAGACGCUUGGUAUAGAAUUUGCAAUGCUCAAAAUAGAUCUACCAGGAAGCAAUCUACUUCCAUUCUUCUUCGCAAUUUUUAUGUAGGCGUUACUCCUUGGUACAGAUAUAUUCUUGAUACCAUUACCAGAGGGAAUUUCUUGGGUAGCCAUACUUUUGAUUCUUAUAAUGCUAUGAUAGAUUUGUUUGGCUCACCACCUCUUUUGGUUAAUGGAACUAUGUUAACUUUGGAACAUGUGAUGCAAAGGCUUGAAAUUAUUGAAGAUAAAGUUGCUACUGUAGAGUUGAUUGAGAAUUUGGAUAAAAAGAUCCACAACCAAAUUACCCAGUAUGGAUCUAAGGUGGGAGUUACUCUGAAAAGUUUUAAGGAAAAAGAACCCAUAGUUAAUGAAAGAAUAGAUCAAGAUUCUACUAGAAUCGAUAAACUUGAGGGAAUUAUCACCAACUUGGGGUCUGCUUUUUCUUCCUUUAAAAAUACUCCAAAUCCUCCUACCAAAAUUGCCAAGCUUGUUUAUGUUCCUAAAAAUAAGGGUGAAUCCUCUAGUAAGGAAACUGUGGAUUUAAAAUCAAUAAGUGUUCAUCCUAAUCUUUUUGCUAUCAUUAAGGAACCGUUUGCUACAAAUGAUUUUCUUGAUUUUGUGCCUAGGAGUUUGAUAAUUAAUAAAAAGAAAGAAAAUCCUAGGGGUUAUAGGUGUCUUAUUGAAGAAUUUCCCACCAAAGAUGGCAAUACUUAGAUCUAUCCUUGCUUUUAUGCCUAGCUAGGGGCGUUAAACGAUAGCGCUUGUUGGGAGGCAACCCAAUUUUAUUUUAGUUUUUUGCUUUUUGCUUCUGUUUAGGAAUAAAUAUUUGAUCUAGCCUCUGGUUAGAUUUAUUUUUAUGUUUUAAUUAGUGUUUGUGCCAAGUUAAACCUAUAGGAACUUCUUGGAUGAUAGUUAUGCUUGCUGAAAAUUCCAGAAACUUUCUGUUCACGAAAAAAAUUGUUAAAAAUCACCAGAACGUGAUAAAAUACUGAUUCCAAUUGCAGUAGAUCAAUAAACAAAUUAUCUAGGUCGUCCUAUUUUGGUAGAUUUUUCUGAGUUCCAGAAGUUUGCGUUAGUUACAGAUUACUACAGACUGUUCUGUUUUUGACAGAUUCUGUUUUCCGUGUGUUGUUUGCUUAUUUUGAUGAAUCUAUGGCUAGUAAAAUAGUUUAUAAACCAUAGAGAAGUUGGAAUACAGUAAGUUUAACACCAAUAUAAAUAAAGAAUGAGUUCAAUACAGUACCUUGAAGUGGUGUUUUGUUUUCUUUCGCUAACGGAGCUCACGAGAUUUUCUGUUGAGUUUUGUGUUGUGAAGUUUUCAAGUUUUGGGUAAAGAUUUGAUGGAUUACGGAACAAGGAGUGGCAAGAGCCUAAGCUUGGGGAUUCCCAUGGCACCCCAAGGUAAUCUAAGGACACCAAAAAGCCAAAGCUUGGGGAUGCCCUGGAAGGCAUCCCCUCUUUCAUCUUCGUCCAUCGGUAACUUUACUUGGAGCUAUAUUUUUAUUCACCACAUGAUAUGUGUUUUGCUCGGAGCGUCUUGUAUGCUUUGAGACUUUGCUUUUUAGUUUACCACAAUCAUCCGUGCUGUACACACCUUUUGAGAGAGAGACACAUGAUUCAGAAUUUAUUAGAAUACUCUAUGUGCUUCACUUAUAUCUUUUGAGUUAUAUAGUUUUUGCUCUAGUGCUUCACUUAUAUGUUUUAGAGCACGGUGGUGGAUUUGUUUUAUAGAAACUAUUGUUCUCUCAUGCUUCACUUAUAUUAUUUUGAGAGUCCUACAAAACAGCAUGGUAAUUUGCUUUAAUUGUGAAAUUAGUUCUAAUAUGCUAGGUAUUCAAGAUUUGUAAAAACUUUCUUAUGAGUGUGUUGAAUACUAAGAGAAGUUUGAUGCUUGAUGAUUGUUUUGAGAUAUGGAGGUAGUGAUAUUAAAGUUGUGCUAGUUGAGUAGUUGUGAAUUUGAGAAAUACUUGUGUUGAAGUUUGCAAAUCCCGUAGCAUGCACGUAUGGUAAACGUUGUGUAACAAAUUUGAAACAUGAGGUGUUCUUUGAUUGUCCUCCUUAUGAGUGGCGGUCGGGGACGAGCGAUGGUCUUUUCCUACCAAUCUAUCCCCCUAGGAGCAUGCGCGUAGUGCUUGGUUUUUGAUGACUUGUAGAUUUUUGCAAUAAGUAUGUGAGUUCUUUAUGACUAAUGUUGAGUCCAUGGAUUAUACGCACUCUUACCCUUCCAUCGUUGCUAGCCUCUUCGGUACCGUGCAUUGCCCUUUCUCACCUUGAGAGUUGGUGCAAACUUCGCCGGUGCAUCCAAACCCCGUGAUAUCAUACGCUCUAUCACACAUCAGCCUCCUUAUAUCUUCCUGAAAACAGCCACCAUACCUACCUAUUAUGGCAUUUCCAUAGCCAUUCCGAGAUAUAUUGCCAUGCAACUUUCCACCGUUCCGUUUAUCAUGACACGUUCAUCAUUGUCAUAUUGCCUUGCAUGAUCAUGUAGUCGACAUCGUAUUUGUGGCAAAGCCACCAUGCAUAUUAUUUCAUACAUGUCACUCUUGAUUCAUUGCCCUUCCCGGUACACCGCCGAAGGCAUUCAUAUAGAGUCAUACUUCGUUCUAGUAUCGAGUUGUAAUCAUUGAGUUGUAAAUAAAUAGAAGUGUGAUGAUCAUCAUUCAUAGAGCAUUGUCCCCAAAAAAAGAGAAAGGCCAAACGAAAAAAAGAAAGCCCCCCCCCCCAAAAAAAAGAAAAGAAAAGAAAAAGGCGCAAUGCUACUAUCUUUUUCCAUACUUGUGCUUCAAAGUAGCACCAUGAUCCUUAUGAUAGACAGUCUCUUGUUUUGUCACUUUCAUAUACUAGUGGGAAUUUUUCGUUAUAGAACUUGGCUUGUAUAUUCCAACAAUGGGCUUCCUCAAAUGCCCUAGGUCUUUGUGAGCAAGCAAGUUGGAUGCACGCCCACUUAGUUUCUUUUGUUGAGCUUUCAUACAUUUUUAGCUCUAGUGCAUCCGUUGCAUGGCAAUCCCUACUCCUCACAUUAACAUCAAUUGAUGGGCAUCUCCAUAGCCCGUUGAUUAGCCGCGUUGACGUGAGACUUUCUCCUUUUUUGUCUUCUCCACAUAACCCCCAUCAUUAUAUUCUAUUCCACCCAUAGUGCUAUAUCCAUGGCUCACGCUCAUGUAUUGCGUGGAAGUUGAAAAAAGUUUGAGAUUACUAAAGUAUGAAACAAUUACUUGGCUUGUCAUCGGGGUUGUGCAUGAUGAGAGCAUUCUUGUGUGACGAAAAUGGAGCAUGACCAAACUAUAUGAUUUUGUAGGGAUGAACUUUCUUUGGCCAUGUUAUUUUGAGAAGACAUAAUUGCUUAGUUAGUAUGCUUGAAGUAUUAUUACUUUUAUGUCAAUAUUAAACUUUUAUCUUGAAUCUUUCGGAUCUGAAUAUUGAUACCACAAUUAGGAGGGUUACAUUGAAAAUUAUGCUAAGUAGCAUUCCACAUCAAAAAAUCUGUUUUUAUCAUUUACCUACUCGAGGACGAGCAGGAAUUAAGCUUGGGGAUGCUUGAUACGUCUCCAACGUAUCUAUAAUUUUUUAUUGUUCCAUGCUAUAUUAUAUUCUGUUUUGGAUGUUUAUUGGGCUUUAUUAUACACUUCUAUAUUAUUUUUGGGACUAACCUAUUAACCGGAGGCCCAGCCCAAAUUGCUGUUUUUCGCCUAUUUCAGUGGUUCGAAGGAAAAGGAUAUCAAACGGAGUCCAAACGGAAUGAAACCUUCGGGAACGUGAUUUUCGGAACGAACGUGAUCCAGAGGACAUGGAGUCUACGUAAAGCAAUCGACGAGGAGGGCACUAGGUAGGGGGGCGCGCCCACCUCCCGCAGGCGCGCCCUCCACCCUCGUGGGCCCCUCGUUGCUCCACCGACGUACUUCUUCCUCCUAUAUAUACCCAUGUACCCUGGAAACAUCAUAUAUGGAGCCAAAACCCUAUUUCCACCGCCGCAACCUUCUGUACCCGUGAGAUCCCAUCUUGGGGCCUUUUCCGGCGCUCCGCCAGAAGGGGCAUUGAUCAUGGAGGGCUUCUACAUCAACACCAUAGCCUCUCCGAGGAUGUGUGAGUAGUUUACCUCAGACCUUCGGGUCCAUAGUUAUUAGCUAGAUGGCUUCUUCUCUCUCUUUGGAUCUCAAUACAAAGUUCUCCUCGAUCUUCUUGGAGAUCUAUUUGAUGUAACUCUUCUUUUGCGGUGUGUUUGUCGAGAUCCGAUGAAUUGUGGGUUUAUGAUCAAGUUUAUCUAUGAACAAUAUUUGAAUCUCCUCUGAAUUCUUUUAUGUAUGAUUGGUUAUCUUUGCAAGUCUCUUCGAAUUAUCAGUUUGGUUUGUUCUACUAGAUUGAUCUUUCUUGCAAUGGGAGAAGUGCUUAGCUUUGGGUUCAAUCUUGCGGUGUCCUUUCCCAGUGACAGCAGGGGCAGCAAGGCACGUAUUGUAUUGUUGCCAUCGAGGAUAAAAAGAUGGGGUUUAUACCAUAUUGCAUGAGUUUAUCCCUCUACAUCAUGUCAUCUUGCUUAAAGCAUUACUCUGUUCUUAUGAACUUAAUACUCUAGAUGCAUGCUGGAUAGCGGUCGAUGUGUGGAGUAAUAGUAGUAGAUGCAGAAUUGUUUCGGUCUACUUGUCGCGGACGUGAUGCCUAUAUAUAUGAUCAUACCUAGAUAUUCUCAUAACUAUGCUCAAUUCUAUCAAUUGCUCGACAGUAAUUCGUUUACCCACCGUAAUACUUAUGCUAUCUUGAGAGAAGCCACUAGUGAAACCUAUGGCCCCCGGGUCUAUUUUCCAUCAUAUUAAUCUCCCAACAACAAGCUAUUUCUAUUGCCGUUUAUUUUACUUUGCAUCUUUAUUUCUCUUUAUCAUAAAAAUACCAAAAAUAUUAUCUUAUCAUAUCUAUUAGAUCUCACUCUCGUAAGUGACCGUGAAGGGAUUGACAAUCCCUUUAUCGCGUUGGUUGCGAGGUUCUUAUUUGUUUGUGUAGGUGCGUGGGACUCGAGCGUGGUCUCCUACUGGAUUGAUACCUUGGUUCUAAAAAACUGAGGGAAAUACUUACGCUACUUUACUACAUCACCCUUUCCUCUUCAAGGGAAAACCAACGCAGUGCUCAAGAGGUAGCACAAGGUACUCUUCUUAUUUCUUGUGUAAUCCCUUCAGGGUCUCCCAAAAGGUAAAACCAUAUGUAAAUUAUGUUGUGAGAUGAAGUACUUUUGUGUUUUACUUGGUUAUUGUAUUAUGCAUUUAUGAGAUGAGUUCGUACACUAGGAAUCCUAUAGGAGAAACCUCUGACGAUAGUUCUUUGUUUAGCCUUGUGUGGCAUCUGAUUCAAACCAUGUGGCCGUAGAGAAGUGUUUCCUUCGGGUGGAAUUGCCUUGGAAGAUGGUAGUAAUUUAUCCCAUAAGUUUGCAAUAAAAAUAUCAAGUGAACUUAGCUACUUCUGAAGCAACAUACCGAGUAGGACUAACACAACCACUACACAGACCAUCGGUCAUUUUCUUGGUUUCUGCAGCCUUAAAAGGUCCUGCAAAAAACCAACACACAAGUAUAAACAUCAUUUUGCAAGCAAAAUAUUAUUUAGUAUAAAAACUAGUUAAUUAAAAAAUCAAAAUUAUUUAGCAUUAAAAAUAGUUAGUGGAAAUCUAAUUUAAUUAGAUAUUCUUAUUAUUAUAUUAUAUUUGUUUUUGGUAUGAUUUUUAAAGGUUGGGAAACUAAGAAAAUGGUCGACCGUGUGUGCAGUGGUUGUGUUAAUCCUACUCGGUACUCGCCAUAUUUUCACCAUGUUGCUUCAGAAGUAGCUAAGGUCAUUCAAUUGAUGUUUUGUUUGCGAACUUAUGGGAUAAAUUCCUACCGUCUUGCCAGGCAGUUCCAUCUGAAGGGAACACUCUAUGGCCACAAGGUUCUCAUCAGACGCCACACAAGGGUAAACUCCCGACAGAGAUUUCUCCUAUAGGAUCCCUAGCAUAAGAACUCAUCACAUUAAGUAAUAAUAAGGAAACCAAGUGAAACACAAAACUACUGCAUUUCAGAACAUAAUUUACAUAAGAUUUUUCCUUUCGGGAGACCUGAAGGAAUUAUACAGGAAAUAAGAAGACUACCUUCUUCCUUCCAAUCUUCGCUACCUGAUGAUACAAUGCCUUCAACAUAAGGCUUUAUUACAAGUGGAGAUGAAACAUCUACAACUACUAAUGACUGGGAGGCUGUGGUGCUCUUGCUCUAAGAGUGUUGAUGCUGUGGAGUCUGGUGCUUUGUGUCUUUUGUAGCGCUCAGUCGUCAUCCUUUUAUAGUGUGCAAGGGACACCGUGCGAUCCCUUCUUUAUUCCUCUAUAGCUUGUGCACUGUUGCAUGCCACGAGACAACUUCACUGGUUGAAACGUCAUGCAUGUUCCUUCGUGUGAGAUGAUGAACCACCCUAAUAUUUUAUCUACCAUGCAUUCCUUGUAGUUUGCGCACUCAAG
rnacentral:lncRNA from 1 species